GGUUACACACGCAUAUGAAAUUGUGGUAGACCUGUGUAUUUGAACUUGUUAUCCAAAUCCCUGAAUCAUAAGGUCGCAUACCUAUAUGAACUUGCGUUCAGGCCUAUGCGUUUGAACUUGUUAUUCAAGCACUUAACCAUAAGGCUUAAUCUAACUUUCACCUGUGUACCCCACCGGUGUGUGGUUUUUUUCAAGUAUCCAGAAUACGUAAUUGCCAUUUCAUUGAUGCACUAACAGUAUUUAUCAAGCACUAGAGACAUACCCCUGAUGAAGUCUUAGAGUAAGACGAAACGCGUCGGGUUAUUUGUUCAUAAACAUCAAAUCUCCGAAUUGUCAAAGGAGAAGGAGGAAUCUAUCAAAGUUAUUUCAACUGGUCCUCUGUACUAUAUGGUGUUAUCUGCAAGAAGAGAUACUAUACCGUUUUGUAUCAUUGCUUUUAUGUUGUAAUAAAUUUUUACAU